UUGCUUACAAAUGGCUACAGCUAUUUUAUGUGAAACGAUCACAGGUACAUACUCUUGGAAACGCAGAGAACACCUUGUUCGAAGUAUAGACUACCCAGGCAGUUUAGUCCUUGACACGACUAAGAAGACAUAAACGAUUGACACUGGAAAUUUUCAGCCACCCCGACUUUGAUCCAGCAGUAGGCAAAGCAGCUUUCCGUUGCCAUCUCCCUCGCGUAACGACACCAGCGUGAGGAGAGGGGUUGGCUAUGCCAGCUGCAGUUGUUCCGAAUAUCUUGUCUGAUAGAUUUACGUGUAACGCUACGUCCGUGGGCAGUGGAUCUAGUAGCGUAGCACAGACUAUUGCAACGUGCAAGGGGUAUCGAAGCUCUCGCAUUACGUAGAGUUCCAUUUGGGAAAAUUCCAGAAAUGGAAAGACAGGCGGAGUCAAAGGUUAUUGUGGCAGUAAGGUAAGGAGUGCACCGCUUCCAGACCAGUUCCAUCCAUUACUGUAAGCUCAUAAAUGUUAGCUAUGAAUUUUUGUGUAGGGUGAGACCACUCAGUGAAGAUGAGCAGAAGAGGAAUGAGGAAAGCAUUGUGUACUGUCCUGAUGAACACAGUCUAGUGGUAAGGCUGGCUUAGAUACAGUAUCUAUGAGCUAUUGUGUGAGCUACUGCACAAAAGACACAUUGCCAAAGCAUGUGUUACUUGGUUGAAUUUUCACAGUGGUGGCAGUGACAUGCAUGCUGUUCACUAUUGUAGGUGAGUCAGGAAGGUAUUCAGAACGCCUUCUCAUUCAACAUGGUCUUCAGCCCAGAGAUUUCCCAGCAGGAGAUAUUUGAGGCUACUGACAUGAGGAAGCUGAUCAAUAUGGCUAUUGAGGGGUACACCUGUACUGUGUUUGCCUUUGGCCAGACAGGCUCAGGGAAGACCUACACCAUCAAUGGUCCACACUCCCUG
rnacentral:lncRNA from 1 species